UGUAGGUGGCAAGCGUUGUCCGGAAUUAUUGGGCGUAAAGCGCGCGCAGGUGGUUUAAUAAGUCUGAUGUGAAAGCCCACGGCUCAACCGUGGAGGGUCAUUGGAAACUGUUAAACUUGAGUGCAGGAGAGAAAAGUGGAAUUCCUAGUGUAGCGGUGAAAUGCGUAGAGAUUAGGAGGAACACCAGUGGCGAAGGCGGCUUUUUGGCCUGUAACUGACACUGAGGCGCGAAAGCGUGGGGGAGCAAACAGGAUU
rnacentral:rRNA from 1 species